AUUGAACGCUGGCGGCAUGCCUUACACAUGCAAGUCGAACGGUAACAGAUUAUCGGCUGCUGACGAGUGGCGGAGGGGGGAGUAAUACAUAGGAACGCGCCCAGACGUGGGGGAUCAUGAGGGGAAACCUAGGCAAAUACAGCCUACGACCUCAGGAGGAAAACAGGGGAACGCAAGGCAUCUCGCGACUGGAGGGGACGAUGUCAGAUUAGGUAGUUGGAGGGAUAAAGGCGGACCAAGCCGACGAUCUGUAGCUGGUCUGAGAGGAUGACCAGCCACACUGGAACUGAGACACGGCCCAGACUCCUACGGGAGGCAGCAGUGGGGAAUUUUGGACAAUGGGCGAAAGCCUGAUCCAGCCAUGCCGCGUGCAGGAUGAAGGCCUUCGGGUUGUAAACUCCUUUUGUUCGGAACGAAAAGGCGCUGGCUAAUACCUGGGUCACAUGACGGUACCCAAAGAAUAAGCACCGGCUAACUUCGUG
rnacentral:rRNA from 1 species